UACGAAGGGGGCUAGCGUUGCUCGGAAUUACUGGGCGUAAAGGGCGCGUAGGCGGCUACUUAAGUUGGGGGUGAAAGCCCGGGGCUCAACCUCGGAAUUGCCUUCAAUACUGGGUAUCUUGAGUUCGGGAGAGGUGAGUGGAACUCCGAGUGUAGAGGUGAAAUUCGUAGAUAUUCGGAAGAACACCAGUGGCGAAGGCGACUCACUGGCCCGAUACUGACGCUGAGGCGCGAAAGCGUGGGGAGCAAACAGG
rnacentral:rRNA from 1 species